rnacentral:rRNA from 1 species
GUGAGCUAACCAGCAAUGGAGGCAGCUGCCUAAGGUAAAACCAAUGACUGGGGUUAAGUCGUAACAAGGUAGCCGUAUCGGAAGGUGCGGCUGGAUCACCUCCUUUUUAAAGAGA